rnacentral:rRNA from 1 species
UACGUAGGGGGCGAGCGUUGUCCGGAUUUAUUGGGCGUAAAGAGCUCGUAGGCGGUUCGAUAAGUCGGAUGUGAAAUCUCCACGCUCAACGUGGAGGGGCCAUUCGAUACUGUCGUGACUCGAGUCCGGUAGGGGAGUGUGGAAUUCCCGGUGUAGCGGUGAAAUGCGCAGAGAUCGGGAGGAACACCCGUAGCGAAGGCGGCACUCUGGGCCGGUACUGACGCUGAGGAGCGAAAGCCAGGGGAGCAAACGGG